UGGGGUGUGGCCAAGUGGUAAGGCACAUGGUUUUGGUCCAUGCAUUCGGGGGUUCGAAUCCCUCCACCCCAGCCA
rnacentral:tRNA from 1 species